ensembl:lncRNA
GUCAUGACCUGUGCCUGCACAUUCCUUUUAAUGCUGCACACAGACUGAUACAUCAUAAUGCUUUGUAUGUGAGAAGUUUUCCUUCAGAUUGGAAUUUAAGUUUCUGUGGUCUUUUUUCCUGCACUCAAGUUGUUUUGAGGACCCAAGAUAAUGAGAGCUGGAGGAGGAGACAGUACGGCAUGCCCUCUGCGGAGGCAUCUCAUUGAAUCACUCUUUGUAAACUCUCAGCUGAGGGACAACCUUCAGUGCUAUCUUAAAUACCAAAAGGUGUUGGCACUUGAGUGAGGCAGUGCUUGGCAUUGUGCUAAGCCUGAAAAGCGAGAAGCCUUUAACACUCCCACACCAAGGAAAGCUCAGAACUUCUGACAAUGUUUUCUCAACACGAAACUGAAAUUCUUCAGAGUUCUGCUAAUGGAAAAGAAACUCCCACCCCCACCACAAGAAUAGUGUUAGUGUAAUAAUAUUUCCACUGCCCAGACUGAGUUGAAGGUCCAUAUUGUGGAGCCCUGAAAUGGAAAAACUAAGUAGGGCCCCCCAUCUUCAGUCACAUAGAGUGGUAGCUGUGCUUGCUAUAGACUGAAUGUUUGCAUCCCUUCCAAAUUCGUGUGUUGAAAUCCUAACCUCCAGUGUGGCAGCGUUAGGAGCUGAGGCCUUUGGGAAGAGAUUAGGUCACAAGGGUGGAGCCCUCAAGAAUGAGAUUAGUGCCCUUAUAAUAAAA